AACUUUUGACAACGGAUCUCUUGGUUCUCCCAUCGAUGAAGAACGCAGCGAAAUGCGAUAAGUAAUGUGAAUUGCAGAAUUCAGUGAAUCAUCGAAUCUUUGAACGCACCUUGCGCUCCUUGGUAUUCCUUGGAGCAUGCCUGUUUGAGUGUC
rnacentral:rRNA from 1 species